UACGGAGGAUCCGAGCGUUAUCCGGAUUUAUUGGGUUUAAAGGGUGCGUAGGCGGCCUAUUAAGGUCAGGGGUGAAAGACGGUAGCUUAACUAUCGCAGUGCCUUUGAUACUGAUAGGCUUGAAUGUACUUGAGGUAGGCGGAAUGUGACAAGUAGCGGUGAAAUGCAUAGAUAUGUCACAGAACACCAAUUGCGAAGGCAGCUUACUAAAGUAUGAUUGACGCUGAGGCACGAAAGCGUGGGGAUCAAACAGG
rnacentral:rRNA from 1 species